rnacentral:lncRNA from 1 species
ACAUGCCUUUCUGGAAGUUCUAGGGAAGAAUCUGCUUCUGUGUUCAUUCAGACUGUUGGAAGAAUUCAGUUCCUAGUGGCUACUGGUGUCAAUCAGGGACUGAUCUCAGCUCCAACAAGUCACCCUCAGAUCCUUGCCAUUUGACCCCUCCAUGUUCAAAGCUAGUGGCUUAGAAUCCUCACUGUACUGAACCUCUCUCACACUUCCAGUAUCUCUCCCAUCUGCCAUGACACAAUCUUACAUAGUGUAAUCACCAGAGGGUUUACUCUAUCACUAUUGGCCACAUAACAAUCGAAUCAAAGAAAUGACUAUCCUAUCAUAUUCACAAUUUUCACACACACUCCAAGUUAGGAGAUUAUGUACAUGUGCAUCAGGAGAUGGGAAUCCUAGGGACUAUCUUAGAAUUUUGAGGGCAAGGGGAACCCUAUUCUCAGCUUCAGAGUGAAUCUUGUUUUACAUACACCAAUCAUGAUGGCCCCUUUCCAGGAAUUUAUUUAAAACUAGCAUGUGACCCAGAUGUAGGCAAAGACACAAAGUGAGUCUGCUAGGGAACUUCUAGGAAACAUUCCUCUCUCAUAAGGUGAGAUUACCUCUGUUCCAACUUUGUGUAUUUUCUAAUCCAGGUGGGAUGCCUAGAAUCCUGGAAUCACUACAGCUGUCUUGCUCCCAGUCUGAGGAUGAAAGCAUCACACAGGGGAAGGAAAAGCAAAAAAAAAAAAAACCAUGUAGAAGUAGUGCUGGAGCUCAAAACACCAUAGCUCAUGCCACCUUUCAACUUCUUGUUGGGGGAGAUUUUUAAUUCUUUUCAUCAUGCCAGCCAGCUUGAAUCAGGGUUUCAUUACUUGUAGCCCAAGGCAUUCUAUGAAUGAAAGAUUCCAGGUAAAAUUUAAUUUAAGGAAAAAAAAGAGCUCAGCUGUUGGACAAAACUUUGAAAAUCAUAGAUCUAUUAGAUAGAGUCAGACAGACCUGAGAUUUCAACUGAACUUCCAAUAUUAAUGAGAUGAAUUAUUUUAUCUGUACGAUCAGGAAAAGUAAUUUCUAUCUUCACAAGUCAUUAUGAGGAUGUAGCAAAGUUGCACACAUUAGCCAAGUAUUUCAAGUGAAACAUAAGACUUGUUUCAAACACCUAAUUAUAACCAGGACUUAGGGGACAGGAUGGAAUGAGAGGAGGAUAUGGGUAACCAAGAAAGAAUGUAGGGAUGGAUGUGACAUGGUAGGGAGAAUAAGACAAAAAGACAGCUCUGUCUGAGGGCGUGAUGCACUGAGCAUCUCCUCAUUUCACUCCAGAUCAGUGUCUGAGCUCCAGGGAGGGAAGGGAAUGCAAGUGUAUUUAAAAGUGGGGUUCAUGGGAUGCCUGAGUAGCUCAACAGUUGGGCACCUGCCUUCAGCUCAGAUCAUGAUCCCGGGAUCCAGAAUCGAGUCCUGCAUAGGGCUCUCUGUGAGGAGUCUGCUUCUCCUUCUGCCUAUGUCUCUGCCUCUCCCUCUCAGUCUGUGUCUCUCAUAAAUAAAUAAAUAAAUCUUUUUUUUUAAGUGGAGGUUACACAUAUACACAUUUUUGCAUAAUGUGGGACAGGAAAUGACCAGGGCCACCAUGGUAGAAGAGAAGGACCUUCAAGGAUACUCUUUCUCUCCAAAAAGAAGAAUGAAGAAGCCAACAUUAUUUGGGCAACACUCUUGAGAUGCAUCCUAGGUGCCAGAAUGAGAAGGCAGGCAUUAUUAAACAAGGAACUGUCAAUAAAGCAGCAAUAUAAGGCAAGGAGAGAAUGGAGAAAGCAUUCAGAGAAAUUUGCAGCAUCUCACAUUCAUUUUUUACCUCAUAUUAUGCGCCAACCUUUAGGAUGCCCUUUGAAAGCUUACACUCCUAUUUGCUAACUCAAUAGAAUUUUCCUUCCCCUUUGACAGAUUAGGUGAGAGAUGAGAUCUCAAAUGAUUACAGAGCACUUUCACUUUAUUUUUUUCCUUGGACUAUAGUUGGCACACAAUGGUACAUUAGUGUCAGAUGUACAAUAUAGUGAUUUGACAAGUUUAUACAGUAUGCUAUGCUCACCACAAGGGUUGCUACCAUCUAUCACCAUACAAUACUAUGGUAAUAUCAUUUACUAUAUUCCCUAGGCUGUACACUUUUAUUCCCAUGAGUUAUGCAUUCCAUAACUGGAAGCCUGUAUCUCCUACUCCCUUUCACCCAUUUUUCCCAAGCAUCCACCAUACCCUAACCUCUGGCAGCCAUCAAUUUGUUCUCCAUAUUUAUAGGUCUGAUUAUACCUUUUGCUUGUUCACUCAUUAUUUUUUAGAUUCUACCUAUGAGUGAAAUCUUAUGGUAUUUGUCUUUCUCUGACUGACUUAUUUCGCUUAGCAUAAUACCCUCUAGUUCCAUCUAUGUCAUUGCAAAUGGCAAGAUUCCAUUCUUUGUGAUAGCUGAGUAAUAUUCCAAGGUAUGUGUCUGUAUGUGUACCAUUUCUUUAUCUUUCAUCAGUCGAUGGACAUUUAGACUCUUUCCUUAUUUUUGCUAUAGUAGACAGUGCUGCUAUAAACAUUGGGGUGCAUGUACCCCCUUCAAAUGACUAUUUUUGUACCCCUUGGAUAAAUACCUAGUACUCUGAUCGCUAGAUCCUAAGGUAGUUCUAUUUUUAACUUUUUUGAGGAAACUCCAUACUGUUUUUCAGAAUGGCUGUACCACUUUGCAUUCCCACCAACAGUGUUAGAGGGUUCCCCUUUCUCUGCAUCUCCGCCAAGGUCUGUUGUUUCCCGAGUUGUUAAUUUUAGCCAUUCUGAUCAGUGGGAAGCAGUAUCUCAUCAUGGUUUUGAUUUGUAUUUCCCUAAUAAAGAGUGAUGCUGAGCAUCUUUUCACAUGUCUGUUAGCCAUGUGUAUGUCUUCUUUGAAGAAAUGUCUAUUCAUGUCUUCUGCCCAUCUCUCAACUGGAUUUUUUAUUUUAGGGGUGUUAAGUUUGAUAAGCUCUCUAUAGAUUUUGGAUACUAGGCCUUUAUCUGAUAUGUCAUUUGUGAAUAUCUUCUCCCCUUCUGUAGAUUGCCUUUUAGUUUUGUUGAUUGUUUCCUUCACUGUGCAGAAGAUUUUUAUCUUGAUGAAGUACCAAUAGUUCAUUUUUCCUUUUGUUUCCUUGCUUCUGGCAGUAGGUCUAAUAAGUUGCUAUGGCAAAAAAUAAAACAAAUUAAAUAA